rnacentral:tRNA from 2 species
GCCACUUUAGCUCAGCGGUAGAGCAGCUGUUUCGUAAACAGCAGGUCAGAGGUUCGAUUCCACUAAGUGGCUCCA